AGACACCCCUGACCAUUCUUCACAUCCCUCCAAGGUUGCUACCCACUGAAGGAGAGCCCCUCGGGGACUCCCUUUCCUACAGGAUCAGAAUGGGAACUUAUUCUCUGGGCCAGGAAUCAUAGGGGAGGCAGCAGACAUCAGAAGGGAGAUGGAGAGGAGUCCCGAAGAACUACAUAUGAGCAUGCUUCAUGGAAGGAGGGAGUAACUGUGUAUUUAAAUGCAAAGAGUUGACUUGUAGAUUUCCGAUUAACCAUAUUCAAGAUGACCUUGAGAAAAGUACUUUUGGACGUCGGUGGCAACAUGAAAGUUCUGGGAGUCCAAAUGGCAGAGGGGAAACUGUCUGCAAUCCUUUGUACCUGUCUCAGAUGCCACUAAAGUCACUUGUCACAGAUUCAGAUGUGCUGUGACCAGCUAUUCCAAGUGCCUGCCUUGACGUCCCACAAAGAUGGACUGUGAUAUGGAAUUGAGCUGAAAUAAUAAACCUUUCCUCCCCUGA